rnacentral:rRNA from 1 species
AUACGGAGGAUCCGAGCGUUAUCCGGAUUUAUUGGGUUUAAAGGGUGCGCAGGCGGCCAUUUAAGUCAGCGGUUAAAUCGUGGGGCUCAACCCCAUUCUGCCGUUGAUACUGGGUGGCUUGAUUGCGGUCGAGGUUGGCGGAAUUCGUUGUGUAGCGGUGAAAUGCAUAGAUAUGACGAAGAACACCGAUUGCGUAGGCAGCUGACCAGACCGCAAAUGACGCUCAUGCACGAAAGUGCGGGGAUCGAACAGGAUUAGAUACCCUGGUAGUCCUCACAGUAAACGAUGAAUACUUGUUUUCGGCGAUAUAAUGUCGGAGGCAAAGCGAAAGCGAUAAGUAUUCCACCUGGGGAGUACGCCGGCAACGGUGAAACUCAAAUGAAUUGACGGGG